AUGGGAAACCCUUCCCGGCCCUUCCCUGCCUGUCCUCCCCCACCUCCUCCUCCUCCUCUCCCGGAACACACAGGCACUAGUUAUUAGGGAUUAGGUGGAACAGAUGCAUGUAAGAUGCUUACUGCCUUUUCCAGACACAAGGCCACUUUCCAAUCAGCUCAGAGGAAACAGGGAGGCAGCUGAUGCCGGCCGGCUGGCUGCCAAGCGGGUCAGGCCUCUGCAGCUGAAACUGCCCGAGAUUCCUGAGCGGGAUGAUGAAUCAGCUGUGUCCUUUAGGACACAUCCUCUCUUGGACGUGCUGCUGGGAUGUCGUGUCUCUCCGCCGCUUCCCCGUGGUGAGAGUGUGCUCAGAGCCGCUGGCUGAUGACACUGGUUUCCUUUUUCAGUGCUGCCCCCUAAGGCAGAGGAUACAAGAGGGGAGCAUCAUUUUUAUGACAACAAGGAUGCAUCCUUUGCAACUGUGACUCCCUUUGUCUGGAAUAUGGGAUGCUGUGGCCGGCCUGCUGUGUUUUCUGUCUUUCUCUGGGACAGCUGAAUAAUGUCCGUAGCCAGACAUAUGCUCAUGGCCUGGAAUGAAGUCGACUGCAAUUACGUCCUGAGGGAGUCACUCAACGGGGGUUUUGUGGAGGCAGGACGCAGGCUCUGGUGGAGCUGCACAUGUGCUGUUAGACCUCCAACUGCACUCCCUCUGCCUUCAGCUUUGUGGGAAUUAGGAGCAGCAGGCUCAGAAAUACAGCCAGUCUGGUGCACAUCUGGAGACAGUAAUUGGAGGUGCCCCAUGGCAGGUGCUACAGAGGCGAAAACCAGCGCUCCUGCAGAGACAGAUUAGCAGCACACCAAAUGAUCUCUCUCGUCCUUGUGCACCCCAGAGCCCGGAAACUCCCCCAUCUCUCCAGCCUUGCAGCCCAGCUGUCCCAAACCCCAGGCAGCAGGGAUGGAUAACAGCAGGCUGCUCUCUGCGCUGCAGCCCAGGCGAUGGAGGAGAUAAUGGGAAUGAUUUCUGGGUACAAGUACAAGCAUGAAUGCUCUGAAGAAAUACUAAGUCUAGUUGUGGUGGAAAAAAAAGGAAAAAUAAAGCAAAUGCACACACUUGCACACACACAACCUCGACAUCAUGUAACGGAAGGUUUGGUUCUGCCUGACAUUUUUUUUCUCAGCUGCUGGUCCUUGAACUCCUCCCAGUGUGGCUCCACCACUGGAGCAACAGCUGGUGUGCUGAGGUGCAGUGCAGGGCUGCCAGCUCUCCUCACUGCAGAUCAAGCCUUGCACUCUGUUACUGGGGGGUUUCCUUGGAGCCCUCACGCCUCUCUGCCAGAGUGCUUGGAUUGUGUGAGAAUUGUACCUUUUGAUGGAAGAAAAAGGGGUGGGGGGGGAAGUUAAUUAAGAAAAUACGUUUCUAGCACUGAACUCAGGAUUGUGUAGGAAAAUUAGCAAAUAGGAAACGAGUAUGGCCUACAGUGAGUAAAAUAAUAAUCUUUUUGCCCUGAGCAGGGCUAUAUGAGCUGUUUGGAUGACACGUGGUGGAGCAGGGGUGUGGAAGAAAAUGGAGCCCUGCUCAGUGCUGCAGGCCUUUUGCCACUGCAACUGAAAGAGUAAAAACUUAUUUUGCCACUCUAGAUGCUAACUCAUGGCAGGCAAUUGCUUUAGCUAUGGCAAAUGAAGUGCAAGGAAGGGUCCAUCAGGUAUUAGCUCCUAAGCCUUAGGGUGUUUUACUAAGUGAGGUGCCAGACCAGUCUGUGGAAAUCUUGUUCUUGAAUUAUUAUUCCUUUUAAAGGUUAGACUGUGCCUGCAAAGAUGAAGUGUUUCCUGGCCUUGCUUUUCAGUAUUGCUAUUCUUUCCAUCCUCUAUUGCUUCCAUAGUGGGUACAGAGACAUGAGCUUUCAAUACCUGCAAAUUUCCAUCUGGUUUGUUAGCAGCACUCCUCAUUAAGGGGAUUAUGAAAAGUUGGAGAUGCUACAGGUAAGCAUCCAAACAGUAAUCCUGGCUUCCACAAUGAGGCAGUGUGUUUUGUGUGGUUAGAGCAGCAGGAACAGGACUCAUGAGUGACAGAGCAAAAAAUCAGUGAUUGCUUCUUUGGCAGGAGAUACUUAAACUUUGUCAAGCUAGGCAAGUAUCUCCAUUGUGGUCUCUGACUCACAAUUCAAGUAUGCUGGGAACAUUUGAGGGGGCUGGGUCAGUUCUUUAAGCAGUGGGAAAACAAGGCUUUAAUGCAUCACGGCAUAACUUUGGGUCUGUGCUCUACUGUUCUGCCUUUCUUUGAGGAAACUGGUGUGGCUGGCGGUGGGGAGAGGGAGGUGUUGUGAAACCACACAUACACAAACACACUCACAUGUGAUUUUAAUCCCUCCUAACAGUGUUUCAGACUCAUUUGACUGUGCCGGCUGAGCUGAGCCACUUCUGACUUGCCCUCCUGAAGGUGAACAGAGGACAAGGCUGUGUGGUGGGCUGGGUGACAACUCGGUUUCACCCUCGCUGCAGCAGCCUGGCUGAGGUAAAGGUCUUUGCUCGUGGUUGUUACUGGUUCCAUAUUUACUUGGGAUCUUUGCAUGCAGAGGACGGCUUUUGGCUUGUGAAGAGGAACUUCUUGGAGGCUGGACUGUUUCCCCUCACACUUCUGAGUCUCUCCUAGAUUGUGUGUAAUGCUCAGAAAGGCUUCUAGGGGCAAGGUGCUUUUCUAUCUCAGAGAAAAAAUUCUGCAAGCUCAUUAAUAAAGGCCAGAUAAAAUAAAGCUUGGAAAGUCAACAUGUUCAAGAAGUUAUGCCGUUCUGGGAAACAAGCGGAGAGGAGGUGUGCAUUUAUGUGGACAAAAGCAGCCCAAACUGUAAACCAUAAUAUAUCUGUUAGCUCAUUAAUGUGUCUGAUGCUGACUAAUUCCAGGGGUGUUCCUGCUGCCCAGCAGCAAAAGUGCAAAUAAGUGGACAGCUGUGAUUUAGUGCCAAAUAUUUGAACACAUCGUGACAAUUCAGGCCACCCACUCUCUUAAGUAAAUACAACUCCUGGACAAUCAUUUCAAACUGGGCUGAAGUGCAGAGCAGCCACUUUCAUGUGCAUCUCAGCCAAAUGGCCCUUAGGUAUUUGGGGCCAAACUUUGCCUUCUGUUACACCCCGGGAGCCCUCAUUCACUCCAGGGUUUGCACUAUGUAGCUGAGGGGCAGAGCUUACUCUUGAUGCUAAUCUGACUUUUUCUAGCUCAGUAAGUACAAUUUCACAUGUAAAUGUAAAUGUGGAACAGAUCUGGACUCGAUUAGCUCCUGAAUCCUUGACAAAAAGCCAUAAUUGUUUAUCCAGAUGAUAUUUCUUUCUCUCUCUUUUGUUUUUUCUACACUUUAAACCCAGGGUUUUAAUAGGCUUGUGAAAUAAAUACAUGAGUGUAGAUUACAGUGGUAUCAAAAGUGUGAGGGAAGCCCUUCCCUUCUCCUCAGCAGGGCUAAAUGAUCACUUGGUGCUCACUUCAGUUGUGCUCUCCAGAGCCUUGGGCAGGGGUGGCUGCGGAUCUGACUGACGGUGGGAGGGAGGGUAUUUCCAAGACAACACUUAGCCUGGGGCUCUCAUUACAGAUGUGAAGGACCUGUGAUAUAUAUCUUUUUUUUUUUCCUGGUAGGCAGUGAAAUCUAUGCUAGUGGCUAUAUCUGGGGCACAGGGCUGCUGGGAGAGGAGAAAAGCAAGGGAAUAUGGAAAAAAUUGUAUUUAUCAGGGUAAUCUAGUUUAGGAGCACAAGUACUAAAACAUGUUAAUCACAGUCAUACGGCUGUGUGUCACU